rnacentral:rRNA from 1 species
AGAGUUUGAUCCUGGCUCAGGAUGAACGCUAGCGGCAGGCCUAACACAUGCAAGUCGAGGGGUAACAUGAGUACUUGUACUUGGUGACGACCGGCGCACGGGUGCGUAACGCGUAUGCAACCUACCUUUUACUGGGGGAUAGCCCGAGGAAAUUCGGAUUAAUACCCCAUAGUAUCAUAAAGUCGCAUGUUUAAUGAUUAAAGAUUCGUGGUAAAAGAUGGGCAUGCGUAUCAUUAGAUUAGUUGGUGAGGUAACGGCUCACCAAGACUACGAUGGAUAGGGGUCCUGAGAGGGUGAUCCCCCACACUGGUACUGAGACACGGACCAGACUCCUACGGGAGGCAGCAGUGAGGAAUAUUGGACAAUGGGCGAGAGCCUGAUCCAGCCAUGCCGCGUGCAGGAAGACGGCCCUAUGGGUUGUAAACUGCUUUUAUACAGGGAAGAAACCGUCCAUGCGUGGAUAACUGACGGUACCUGUAAGAAUAAGCACCGGCUAACUCCGUGCCAGCAGCCGCGGUAAUACGGAGGGUGCAAGCGUUAUCCGGAAUCAUUGGGUUUAAAGGGUCCGUAGGCGGGUAAUUAAGUCAGAGGUGAAAUCCUACAGCUCAACUGUAGAACUGCCUUUGAUACUGGUUAUCUUGAGUUUUAGUGAAGUAGAUGGAAUGUGUAGUGUAGCGGUGAAAUGCAUAGAUAUUACACAGAAUACCGAUUGCGAAGGCAGUCUACUAAUAAUAUACUGACGCUGAUGGACGAAAGCGUGGGGAGCGAACAGGAUUAGAUACCCUGGUAGUCCACGCCGUAAACGAUGGAUACUAGGCU